GGCCGCGGGAAUUCGAUUCAGGCCUAACACAUGCAAGUCGAGCGAUUCUCUUCGGAGAAGAGCGGCGGACGGGUGAGUAACGCGUGGGUAACCUGCCCUGUACACACGGAUAACAUACCGAAAGGUAUGCUAAUACGAGAUAAUAUGCUUUUAUCGCAUGGUAGAAGUAUCAAAGCUCCGGCGGUACAGGAUGGACCCGCGUCUGAUUAGCUAGUUGGUAAGGUAACGGCUUACCAAGGCGACGAUCAGUAGCCGACCUGAGAGGGUGAUCGGCCACAUUGGAACUGAGACACGGUCCAAACUCCUACGGGAGGCAGCAGUGGGGAAUAUUGCACGAUGGGCGAAAGCCUGAUGCAGCAACGCCGCGUGAUCAAUGGAGGCCUUCGGGUCGUAAAGCUCUGUCCUCAAGGAAGAUAAUGAC
rnacentral:rRNA from 1 species